rnacentral:rRNA from 1 species
UUACCGUGCAAAUCGGUUUAUUUUGAUACCUUAUAAAUUGGUUAAAAUUAUAAGUUUUAUGUGUUAAGAAAUCAAUUAUUAAAGAAAAGUAAAAGUUAAAUAAAUUCUAGUUUAAAGCUAUAGGUUAAAAGUACUGUAAAGGAAAUUUUAAAUUUGUGUAGGUAUUGUUAGUAAUUAUAAAAAAAUGUACCUUGUGUAUCAGGGAGAAUCAAAUUAAUUUGAUAAAGACAAUAAUCUCGGAACAAAAAAAGUUAAGUAAUUAGUAAAGUUUUUGUAGUAUAAAAAUUUUAAAUAAUAAUUUAAAGGUGAAAUGCCAGUUGAGUUUUGUGAUAUCUAGUUAUUUGAGAAAUAAAUUUAAUUUAGAUUUUAAUUUUAAUUUUAAUUAAGAUUUAAGAGUAGGAGGGUUUAGCUUCUUAUUCAAUAAGAUAAGUCAAUAGUUUAUUAUUUAAAUUGUAUUUUUAUCUAGGCUUAAGAGUAGCUAUGAUAGUAUAAUGUUCUAAUAAAAAUAUAAUAAUUUAAAAUAUUUAUGGAUUACUUUAAAUUUUAUCAAAAUAUUAAUGGUAUUUUUUAACAUUAAGAAAAAAUGGUUCUAUUAGUAAAAUAUGUUGUAAAUUAGAAAAAUAAAUUAAUUUUACAGAUUUAAAUAUGAGUUGAUAUAAUAAAGGAACUAAGCAAUUUUAUUUCUUGCCUGUUUAUCAAAAACAUGUCUAUUUGGGGGUAUAUAUAGUCUGGCCUGCUCACUGACACAGGAUUGUUUAAGAGCCGCGGUAUUUUGACCGUGCAAAGGUAGCAUAAUCAUUAGCUUUUUGAUUGAAAGCUUGUAUGAAUGGUCGGACAAAGGAAAACUGUCUUUAUUAUAAAAUUAGAAAUUAACCUCUAAGUGAAAAGGCUUAGAUUCUUUAGGGGGACGAUAAGACCCUAUAAAGCUUUACAUAUAAGUAGAGUUUACUUAAUUAAAAAGUAAAAGUUUAAUCUAAUUAGUGUGUUUUGUUGGGGCGACAUAAAUAUAAUUUAUAUUAACUGUUUAUAGCUUAAUACAAUAAUAAAUGAUUUUAAUGUAGUUGAUCCUUAUUAAAGAUUAAAAGACUAAGUUACUUUAGGGAUAACAGCGUUAUUUCUUUUGAGAGCUCCUAUCGAAAAAGAAGUUUGCGACCUCGAUGUUGAAUUAAAAUAUCUAAAUAAUGCAGCAGUUAUUUAAGAAGGUCUGUUCGACCUUUAAAUUUUUACAUGAUUUGAGUUCAGACCGGCGAAAGCCAGGUCGGUUUCUAUCUCCUAAUUGAGGAGUUAUUUUUUAGUACGAAAGGAUUGAGAAGUAAAAAUUAUUUUUAAUUGAUU